rnacentral:rRNA from 1 species
ACGAACGCUGGCGGCGUGCCUAAUACAUGCAAGUCGAACGCUUCUUUUUCCACCGGAGCUUGCUCCACCGGAAAAAGAGGAGUGGCGAACGGGUGAGUAACACGUGGGUAACCUGCCCAUCAGAAGGGGAUAACACUUGGAAACAGGUGCUAAUACCGUAUAACAAUCGAAACCGCAUGGUUUUGAUUUGAAAGGCGCUUUCGGGUGUCGCUGAUGGAUGGACCCGCGGUGCAUUAGCUAGUUGGUGAGGUAACGGCUCACCAAGGCGACGAUGCAUAGCCGACCUGAGAGGGUGAUCGGCCACAUUGGGACUGAGACACGGCCCAAACUCCUACGGGAGGCAGCAGUAGGGAAUCUUCGGCAAUGGACGAAAGUCUGACCGAGCAACGCCGCGUGAGUGAAGAAGGUUUUCGGAUCGUAAAACUCUGUUGUUAGAGAAGAACAAGGAUGAGAGUAACUGUUCAUCCCUUGACGGUAUCUAACCAGAAAGCCACGGCUAACUACGUGCCAGCAGCCGCGGUAAUACGUAGGUGGCAAGCGUUGUCCGGAUUUAUUGGGCGUAAAGCGAGCGCAGGCGGUUUCUUAAGUCUGAUGUGAAAGCCCCCGGCUCAACCGGGGAGGGUCAUUGGAAACUGGGAGACUUGAGUGCAGAAGAGGAGAGUGGAAUUCCAUGUGUAGCGGUGAAAUGCGUAGAUAUAUGGAGGAACACCAGUGGCGAAGGCGGCUCUCUGGUCUGUAACUGACGCUGAGGCUCGAAAGCGUGGGGAGCAAACAGGAUUAGAUACCCUUGUAGUCCACGCCGUAAACGAUGAGUGCUAAGUGUUGGAGGGUUUCCGCCCUUCAGUGCUGCAGCUAACGCAUUAAGCACUCCGCCUGGGGAGUACGACCGCAAGGUUGAAACUCAAAGGAAUUGACGGGGGCCCGCACAAGCGGUGGAGCAUGUGGUUUAAUUCGAAGCAACGCGAAGAACCUUACCAGGUCUUGACAUCCUUUGACCACUCUAGAGAUAGAGCUUCCCCUUCGGGGGCAAAGUGACAGGUGGUGCAUGGUUGUCGUCAGCUCGUGUCGUGAGAUGUUGGGUUAAGUCCCGCAACGAGCGCAACCCUUAUUGUUAGUUGCCAUCAUUUAGUUGGGCACUCUAGCAAGACUGCCGGUGACAAACCGGAGGAAGGUGGGGAUGACGUCAAAUCAUCAUGCCCCUUAUGACCUGGGCUACACACGUGCUACAAUGGGAAGUACAACGAGUCGCAAAGUCGCGAGGCUAAGCUAAUCUCUUAAAGCUUCUCUCAGUUCGGAUUGUAGGCUGCAACUCGCCUACAUGAAGCCGGAAUCGCUAGUAAUCGCGGAUCAGCACGCCGCGGUGAAUACGUUCCCGGGCCUUGUACACACCGCCCGUCACACCACGAGAGUUUGUAACACCCGAAGUCGGUGAGGUAACCUUUUGGAGCCAGCCGCCUAAGGUGGGAUAGAUGAUUGGGGUG